CCGGCUAAAAGUCGGAGGAAGGUGGGGAUGACGUCAAAUCCAUCAUGCCCCUUAUGACCUGGGCUACACACGUGCUACAAUGGGCGGUACAAAGGGUCGCGAACCCGCGAGGGGGAAGCCAAAUCCCAAAAAGCCGCUCUCAGUUCGGAUUGCAGGCUGCAACUCGCCUGCAUGAAGCCGGAAUCGCUAGUAACCGCGAAUCAGCAGGUCGCGGUGAAUACGUUCCCGGGCCUU
rnacentral:rRNA from 1 species